rnacentral:rRNA from 1 species
AGGGGGCGAGCGUUGUCCGGAAUUAUUGGGCGUAAAGGGCGCGUAGACGGCCGAGUAAGUUAUAGGUGAAAGCCCAUCUUUCAAGGAUGGAAUUGCCUGUAAUACUGCCUGGCUUGAGUGCAGGAGAGGGAAGCGGAAUUCCUAGUGUAGCGGUGAAAUGCGUAGAUAUUAGGAGGAACACCAGUGGCGAAGGCGGCUUUCUGGACUGUAACUGACGUUGAGGCGCGAAAGCGUGGGGAGCAA